rnacentral:lncRNA from 1 species
GGCUAUCGAUGCGGUGGAGAAGGCGAAUUCAGGUCAUCCUGGUCUUCCUAUGGGUUGUGCUCCGAUGGCUCACAUUUUGUAUGAUGAGGUCAUGAGGUAUAACCCCAAGAACCCUUAUUGGUUCAACCGUGACCGAUUCGUUCUAUCUGCUGGACAUGGAUGUAUGUUGCUCUACGCGUUGCUUCAUCUUGCCGGCUACGACAGUGUCCAGGUCUGUGAUCUCUUCUUUGUUUAAUGGCUUUCGAUCUGAUCGUAAUUGAUGAAUGUAGUAACUUUAGUGGAUAGAUUUACCUUUGAAAUUCAUAGAUUGAAUCUGUUUUAAUAUUCAUCUGAUGACUGCUUGAAGUAGUUGAAAGUCAUUCACUGAAAAAGUGUUUGGAUUUGUUUAUUAGGAGGAAGAUUUGAAGCAGUUCCGUCAAUUGGGAAGCAAGACACCAGGACAUCCUGAGAAUUUCGAGACUCCUGGAAUUGAAGUCACUACUGGUUUGAGAUUUUGCUUCUUUUGGCUUAUGGUUCAUGUAAAAUUUCACAGAAACUUUUUAUAACUUACAGUGGUGCUCUCUGCUUUGGCUGCUAUGCAGGUCCUCUUGGACAAGGAAUCGCUAAUGCUGUUGGUUUAGCUCUUGCUGAGAAGCAUUUGGCUGCUAGAUUCAACAAACCUGAUGCUGAAGUUGUCGACCACUACACGUAAUAUAUAAACCCAUACUUAUGUUGUCGUUCUUGGUUUGUAUAUAGCUCUGAUAUUAGAAAUACCUUUUUUUUUUAUUGAUUGUCUAGAUAUGCGAUCCUUGGAGAUGGUUGUCAGAUGGAGGGUAUUUCUAAUGAAGCUUGCUCUCUAGCUGGCCAUUGGGGACUCGGAAAGCUCAUUGCUUUCUACGAUGACAAUCACAUUUCCAUUGAUGGAGACACAGAAAUUGCCUUCACUGAGAACGUGGACCAGCGUUUCGAAGCCCUUGGAUGGCAUGUUAUCUGGGUGAAGAAUGGAAACACUGGGUAUGACGAGAUCCGUGCUGCCAUUAAGGAAGCUAAAGCUGUUACAGACAAGCCUACAUUGAUCAAGGUAACUACACAAUUUUUCGAACCAUCAAACAUCGAUUGGUCUAAAGACCUUUGAUAUGGAUUUACCAUAUUGCUUGUAUCCCAAUGAAUUCAGGUCACUACUACCAUUGGUUAUGGGUCUCCCAACAAGGCAAACUCAUACAGUGUCCAUGGAGCUGCACUUGGCGAGAAGGAAGUUGAGGCUACCAGAAAUAACCUUGGAUGGCCGUAUGAGCCGUUCCAGGUACCUGACGAUGUUAAAAGGUAAGUAAAUCUAAAGCAGGCUUAUGUUUGGUUUUAUUGCUUUGAAUUUGCUUUGAUGACUUACUGUUUGACUUGCACUUUUCUAGCCACUGGAGUCGUCAUACACCUGAAGGAGCUACUCUUGAAUCUGACUGGAGUGCAAAGUUUGCAGCAUAUGAAAAGAAGUACCCAGAGGAAGCUGCUGAGUUGAAAUCUAUUAUCACGGGUGAAUUACCUGCUGGCUGGGAGAAGGCUCUACCUGUAAGUAGAACUCUCUUUGUAGUCCGUACAAUCCAAUUUGUAUUCUAGAUAUGGGUUUUAAGAACAUCUUUCUUUUUCCUUUUUUAGACAUACACACCAGAGUCUCCAGGUGAUGCCACCAGAAACCUGUCACAGCAAUGUCUUAACGCCCUUGCUAAAGUUAUUCCCGGUUUCCUUGGUGGAAGUGCUGACCUUGCAUCAUCCAACAUGACAUUGCUGAAAGCCUUUGGCGACUUCCAAAAGGCCACACCUGAAGAAAGAAAUCUUAGGUUUGGUGUUAGGGAGCACGGAAUGGGAGCCAUCAGCAACGGCAUUGCCCUUCACAGCCCUGGUCUUAUCCCUUAUUGUGCGACUUUCUUUGUCUUCACUGACUACAUGAGAGGUGCCAUGAGAAUCUCGGCUUUGUCUGAAGCUGGUGUUAUCUAUGUUAUGACCCAUGACUCUAUUGGUCUUGGUGAGGAUGGACCAACCCAUCAGCCCAUUGAGCACAUUGCAAGUUUCCGUGCUAUGCCCAACACUCUUAUGUUCCGUCCUGCUGAUGGAAACGAAACAGCCGGUGCAUACAAGAUCGCUGUCACCAAACGAAAGACCCCAUCUAUCUUAGCUCUGUCUAGGCAAAAGCUGCCUCAGCUUCCAGGUACAUCCAUUGAAGGAGUCGAAAAGGGUGGAUAUACAAUUUCUGACGACUCUUCAGGCAACAAACCCGAUGUGAUCUUGAUUGGAACUGGAUCUGAGCUAGAGAUUGCUGCACAGGCUGCAGAGGUGCUGAGGAAAGAAGGCAAAACCGUUAGAGUUGUUUCUUUCGUGUGCUGGGAACUAUUUGACGAGCAGUCAGAUGAAUACAAGGAGAGUGUGUUGCCAUCUGAUGUAUCAGCUAGAGUCAGUAUCGAAGCAGCUUCGACUUUCGGAUGGGGAAAGAUUGUUGGAGGCAAAGGAAAGUCCAUUGGUAUUAAUUCAUUCGGGGCCAGCGCACCAGCACCCUUACUCUACAAGGAGUUCGGUAUCACCGUUGAAGCUGUUGUUG